CGAUGGUGGCCUUUUUGGGGACAGAUGUCCGUGUCGCGCGUUUCUGAGUCGGUGGUGUGGCCGGUGAUUCAAACCCUGACCCCGGGCU
rnacentral:sRNA from 1 species